AACGAACGCUGGCGGCAGGCUUAACACAUGCAAGUCGAGCGCCCCGCAAGGGGAGCGGCAGACGGGUGAGUAACGCGUGGGAACGUGCCCUUUGCUACGGAAUAGCUCCGGGAAACUGGAAUUAAUACCGUAUGAGCCCUACGGGGGAAAGAUUUAUCGGCAAAGGAUCGGCCCGCGUUGGAUUAGCUAGUUGGUGGGGUAAAGGCCUACCAAGGCGACGAUGCAUAGCUGGUCUGAGAGGAUGAUCAGCCACAUUGGGACUGAGACACGGCCCAAACUCCUACGGGAGGCAGCAGUGGGGAAUAUUGGACAAUGGGCGCAAGCCUGAUCCAGCCAUGCCGCGUGAGUGAUGAAGGCCUUAGGGUUGUAAAGCUCUUUCACCGGAGAAGAUAAUGACGGUAUCCGGAGAAGAAGCCCCGGCUAACUUCGUGCCAGCAGCCGCCGCAG
rnacentral:rRNA from 1 species